GGAGAGGUGACCGAGUGGUUGAAGGUACCGGUCUUGAAAACCGGCGUGCCAGCAAUGGUACCGAGGGUUCGAAUCCCUCCCUCUCCGCCA
rnacentral:tRNA from 1 species